rnacentral:misc_RNA from 1 species
AUAGAUAAGAAAAUUUCAUUCCACGUUUUAGAAGGUCAACGUAAAUUCAAAGUAGGAAUAUAGAAUAAUGUUUUGAUGGAGCAUCUUACAAGCAAAGUCUGUUCUUCAAAUCCAAUUAUGCCAUAUUACAAGAGAUAUUCACUCUCCAGAUUCAAAGACAGCCAUGAAAAUACCGAAGAAAAGACAGCAAGGAAAAACAGAAAGGUGCAGCAAAGCAUGUGUCUACACAGCUUUCCAUGAAGACAGUGGUGGAGUGUCAGAAUCUUUGAAUGUAAAGUUGUUGCUCUCAUAUCUAUCACCUUUUACAGCACUUGCUGAUGCAAUGUACUCAAGCUCAGCCAUGUCUUCUGGUGUGAGUUUCACAGACAGAGCUCCAACAUUCUGGAUGAAGUUUUCAAUCUUGGUGGUUCCAGGAAUGGGACAUACAUCAUCUCCUUGGUGAUGGACCCAGGCUAGUGCUAGCUGUGAUGGAGUGCAUUGUUUCCUCGCUGCAAUUUCAUUAAUCCGCUCGAAAAGUUGUUUAUUGUGCUCCAGAUUUUCAGAUUGGAACCUUGGUAGAUACUUGCGAAAGUCACCCUCUGAAAGAGUUUCAACCAACUUAGGCCCUGAUGAUAAGAAUCCUCGUCCCAAAGGACUGUAUGCAACAAUACCAAUGCCAAGUUCUCUGAGAAUUAGAAGGAUGAGAUCAGAAUCACGGUACUAUAUACACCAUAACAUGACAGAUUUUUAUUCAUUUUGAACUCCAUAACAAUUAUUUUUUUGUUAUUGAUGUGUCACCUGCAAGUAGGAACUAUCUCUUCUUCCACAUCUCUCGACCACAAAGACCACUCCAACUGCACAGCUGUUAUAGGGUGAACAGCAUGAGCUCUUCUGAUUGUUGAGGCAGAGGCCUCAGAUAGACCUAUAUACUUUAUUUUACCCUCUUCAACUAGUUUCUUGAGUUCCCCAAUCGUGACUUCAAUGGGAAUAGAGGUAUCAACGCGAUGUUGGUAAUAAAGAUCAAUACAAUCAACAUCAAGGCGUUUCAAGCUAGCCUCACAAGCAGCCCUCACAUAGGCUGGAUCCCUCGAGCCUCCCACUUCCCAUCCUUAUAGACCAAGGCAAAUUUGGUGGCCAAUUCCACUCUCUUUCUCAUCUCUCCUUUAAGCGCCUUUCCGAGAAGAAUUUCAUUAGUAUGAGGUCCAUAGAUAUCGGCGGUAUCGAGGAAAGUGACACCGCUGUUGAUGGCGUGGUGAAUGAGAGCUAUCAUAUCGGAUUCAGGCUUUGGAGGUCCAUAGAAGGCUGACAUGCUCAUGCACCCAAGUCCCUGAGCUGAUACCUCCAGCCCUUGUGAUCCAAGCUUUAUCCUCUUCACUCCUACUUCUGCCAUUUCUAAGCAAAAUAUUCUGUCUGUGACUGUGACAAGGGAAUUAGAAGCAGCAGAAACCACACAUUCACUUGCCAGCUCAUUUCUGUGCAUUUGUAGACUAUCGGGGAAAAGAAAAUUUAUUUACGCAUUGCCACGUGCCAUUUCGGUCCGACUUCGAGCUAAAUUAAAGGGCCGGUUUAGUUUUAUUUUUUAGCGUAAGAGUGUUUGGGGAUGAAUGUAUCUGAUAAUUAAAAAUUUAUCAUUUUUUUUUUAAAUUAGACUAGUUUUACUUUUUAUGACGUAAGUGCUAGCUUAGUGGUUUGAAGCGAAAACUCUAGAAGAUGGCGCUUCUUAUAUGAAUGGUCUACUUUUCAUGACGUAAGUGCUAACUUAAUUUAUCACUUCCAUCCGGCAUAUCGUUUUUGACUUGGGACCCACGUGCGAAAUAGGAAUCAGUUAUAGUUCAUAUUUUUAUUAAUUAAAUAUAUCGUUCUAUUGUUAUUAAUU